UUCUAUUUAAAUGCAUGUGAUUACAGAUCUAUUCCAAGAAAAUUUAAUUCCGUAUGCUUUUAUAUAGAAGUGAUAUGUACUGCUUUCCAGAGAUAAACAAUUUAAAGAAAACAGUGAAAGGGCUGAGAAGAGACCCCACUUUAGAGCAAAGUUUCCCCACACCUGCAGUGUUAACAUUUUAUAGAUUUGUAAAUAUGUCAUUCAGCCUUAGUUCAAUUCGCCAGUAAGAAUGUGUGCAUCUGCUGAAAAUGUGAAAAAAUGUAUGCAGCUUCUACAUCUGGCUUGUAUCAUGUAGGUCAGCAAAGGGCAGGGUGAAAGGUCAGUGACUUUCACAUUUGUUCAACUUCAUUGCAGAUGUAAUCCUGACCCAUGACCUUGGGUUAAGAAAGCUGCCACCCGCACAAUUUAUCGUGCAAGCGUACACACGGAGCGAGUUGAACUACACCCACACCCCUGAUGUUUUAUUACUACUUAAUACAACAUCACAAAGAAGAGAAAGUGAAUAUAGUAGCCAGUCCUAACAUUAUUCCUCACUAUCAGUGCUGUAAUGAGACAGCAGCUAAACCUUUUGAGCCUCUGCGCUUUUUUUUGGUACGUCCAAUUUAUUUCUGACAGGAUCACAUUCCCAAGAUGUCUGCCCUUCCCCAAAAUGGAAGGGCAGACAUCAGACUACAUUCCCGGGACUUAUCAGAGGCAAAGUGCUGAAGAGAGUGGCGUAGAGGGUCGAUGUUCACCCUUAUGUAAUUUUUCUCCAAGUGAGUCAGCAACCUCCCAGCAGCUCCCAGCAGCUACACUCAAACCCGAGGGACUGCCUUAAUACACUUUCCCAGGGCCAGACGCGAUUGGUGGAUGAGCUGACGGACAGCUUGCCCAGGGCAAGUGCACAGCUGCGGUCUCAGACUGAAGAACAAAGCUCCGCAUUUUUCGCCACGCUGAGAUGUCCACAUGGGGAGGAGCAGCGAACCUGAUCCAGCAUUGGGUGCUGAGCAUGACGCUUCAUCUGCCGACUUGGAACAUGCCCUUGACAUUUCCUUGAGGCUGAGAUACUUCAGAUCUAGAAUGGCCGAUCCUUUCAGUCCAGAGAGCUGAAAUGUCCAGGAUGUGUGCUGUGACAAAGUGGCGACAGCAGGAAGAGACGUACGGCUGAGGAAGUGGGCUGAAUCAUAUGAGGAAAGUCAGAGCUGUGUUCUGCACCAGAGGAGCUCCUGUUAACAAUCAAUGUGUCGCUGUGACAGUGGACAGUGGCGCUUGAUGAAAAUGUUGGCUGAGAACACCACAUAUAUGCAAUUAUUAGACUGGCUAUUCCAUUGACUCUGAGGAAGAUGGCAGCCAAGCCAUAUUGAACAAGAGUCUAAAUCUUAAAGAAGCUGCUUUAAUUUCUUCUUGGUUUCUGUAACAUGUAACACCCAUUAUUUCUAAAUCUAUGGGGAGCACAGUACUGAAGCCUCCAGUCUCCAGAGUAAAUUUGGCAGGACAUGGCCGCUGCACUUUCUGUACCUAGAUCAAUCUAUCAGUCACUCAAUCAUUCUGCUGAUUGAUCAAUCAAACUUUAUUUAUAUAGCUUAUUUUAUGAAGUAGUUUUUUUAACACUUCACAGCAUACUUUGACCUAAAUACCUACAAAGCAAGCCGGAGGCAACAGUGCCAAAACUCCUUGGAUGGGGUGUUGGACAAAACUUUGGGAGGAACCAGACUCAACAGGGGAAGUCCAUCCUCCUCUGACUGGCUCAGGGAGUUUGUAGGGCCAAGACAUGGUGUAGACAAUACUCAGUGUACACAUUGAGUACAUAUUAUAACUUAUCUCAUUAGUAUUAUUAUAGCUUUUAUUUAAUCCAGUAAUGAGAGCUGUGCAUUAAA